ensembl:snoRNA
UUGCACUGUUCGUAACCUGUCGACAGUCAUUUUCUGAUGAUGGGUUCCAUUCCAGUGCUACAGUAACAGCCCAGAGUUCAUCCAGAUUGACAUGUGUCUCUCUGUGUUGUCCUUUGGGGGACAGCU